rnacentral:rRNA from 1 species
GAUGAACGCUGGCGGCGUGCCUAAUACAUGCAAGUCGAGCGAACAGAUAAGGAGCUUGCUCCUUUGACGUUAGCGGCGGACGGGUGAGUAACACGUGGGUAACCUACCUAUAAGACUGGGAUAACUUCGGGAAACCGGAGCUAAUACCGGAUAACAUUUGGAACCGCAUGGUUCUAAAGUGAAAGAUGGUUUUGCUAUCACUUAUAGAUGGACCCGCGCCGUAUUAGCUAGUUGGUAAGGUAACGGCUUACCAAGGCAACGAUACGUAGCCGACGUGAGAGGGUGAUCGGCCACACUGGAACUGAGACACGGUCCAGACUCCUACGGGAGGCAGCAGUAGGGAAUCUUCCGCAAUGGGCGAAAGCCUGACGGAGCAACGCCGCGUGAGUGAUGAAGGGUUUCGGCUCGUAAAACUCUGUUAUUAGGGAAGAACAAAUGUGUAAGUAACUGUGCACGUCUUGACGGUACCUAAUCAGAAAGCCACGGCUAACUACGUG